GAUGAACGCUGGCGGCGUGCCUAAUACAUGCAAGUCGAGCGAACAGACGAGGAGCUUGCUCCUCUGACGUUAGCGGCGGACGGGUGAGUAACACGUGGAUAACCUACCUAUAAGACUGGGAUAACUUCGGGAAACCGGAGCUAAUACCGGAUAAUAUAUUGAACCGCAUGGUUCAAUAGUGAAAGGCGGUUUUGCUGUCACUUAUAGAUGGAUCCGCGCCGCAUUAGCUAGUUGGUAAGGUAACGGCUUACCAAGGCGACGAUGCGUAGCCGACCUGAGAGGGUGAUCGGCCACACUGGAACUGAGACACGGUCCAGACUCCUACGGGAGGCAGCAGUAGGGAAUUUUCCGCAAUGGGCGAAAGCCUGACGGAGCAACGCCGCGUGAGUGAUGAAGGUCUUCGGAUCGUAAAACUCUGUUAUUAGGGAAGAACAAAUGUGUAAGUAACUAUGCACGUCUUGACGGUACCUAAUCAGAAAGCCACGGCUAACUACGUG
rnacentral:rRNA from 1 species